rnacentral:lncRNA from 1 species
GCCGUGACAUCGCCACAUGGACAUGCUAAUCCUACGGAAGAGACGACGGCGACCUCCGUACGUACGAGGCCGGCCUUCUAGAAGCAAGCAGAGUGCGGCACCGUAUCUGCGCACGCGACCUUCUAGAAGAUUACGCAUCCGCACGAGAGAGAGAGAGAGAGAGGAACUGCAAUUUUGCCUCCGUCUUGGAGCACGACAAAUCCGUUUGCUUGGAACGUUCAAACCUUCACAAGCGAGAAGGACAGGUCUACCGAGUCACGCACGCGCACACGAAACCCCGGAGUUAAUGCGGCGACAAAUCCGUUUGCUUGGAACGUUCAAACUUUCACAAGCGAGGACAGGUCUACCGAGUCACGCACGCGCACACGAAACCCCGGAGUUAAUGCGGUCGCGAGAGUAUAUGUGGGGGGGACUCAUGCGUGGCGUCGAUCCGGCGCGUCGUGAUCACCUUUCCGCUAGGUAGCCAGAGAUCUCUUUGGAGGUUUGGUGCGCUUCGGCUUCGUCGGCAGCGGCGGCGGCGGCGGCUGGUCUGGGUGUGGAUCGGACGAUGGAGACGGUGGAGGAGGAGGUGGAGGAGUACAGCUGGAGGGAGGUGCUGCUGCCGCGGCUCGUCCCGGGGGUGUCGGGCGCN